rnacentral:rRNA from 1 species
GGCGCUGGUGGGAUACUACCCUAGCUGUGUUGGCUUUCUAACCCGCACCACUUAUCGUGGUGGGAGACAGUGUCAGGCGGGCAGUUUGACUGGGGCGGUCGCCUCCUAAAAGGUAACGGAGGCGCUCCAAGGUUCCCUCAGAAUGGGUGGAAAUCAUUCAUAGAGUGUAAAGGCAUAAGGGAGCUUGACUGCGAGACCUACAAGUCGAGCAGGGUCGAAAGACGGACUUAGUGAUCCGGUG